GAAUGGCGCCGGCGGAGGAAAAUCCUCAGAUGGAGGCGAGCAGUUAUGGGAGAUGCGAAAAUCACAGGGGAGCGUGGAACCCACGUCACAACUUGCGCCCGAGAACAUCACACGGGAGAGAAGCUGCGUCCUCAGUGAAUGGCGUCCCAGAAAAGCACAGCCGCACCAAGCGUCAGAUAAGCCAUUCUGAGCUCAGUCUUUGGAAGGACCACAGGCUCCAGAUGGCCGGGCAGAUGCAGCCGGCUCGCGCCUCCUCCGACGGGAACCCAAGGACCUGGUAGGUUCUCACCCUUGCAGUAGAUCGGCUGAGAGAACGCGGCAUUCAGCCGAGAUGCCCCGGGGAGCCGGAGCAGCUAAGCGGAGGCCGCCGCGCAGCCCGCACGGAGAAAUCGGAUAGGUGGGGACCGCCUGCAGCUCCCGCGCGGGGAAAGGGUGAGUGAGAGACCCCGGGGCUCCGCAGUCCCCCCAACAGACUUCACAGCCCCCGACCCUCGCGGGCCUCCAGAGAAGCGGGCAGCGGCCGAGAGAUUCUCCAGCGGCGUGGCCGGAGCCCACGUGGAGCCCACGGGCUUCCCUGCCCUGAGCAGCUGCAGCUGCAGCCCCCGCCAGCCUGAGUCCUGAGUCCAGCCCGGAGGGCAGCUCCUGCCCCGCCUGAGGAAGAAGUCCUCCCGUAGGAAAUGAGUUCACAAACUUGGAAGAAGCAAUUUACACAGGACGGGCAGAUCUCAACAGAAGGACACGAGAGACAGGAAAAAGCAAGGAAAUGGGAUGCUUCCAAAGGAACCCAGUAAUUUUCCAGCAACAGAUGCCCAUCCAAAAGAAAUGGGCAGAUUAAUUUUGGGCAGUUUCUCCAUGUUGGUCAGGCUAGUCUUGAGAGAGAACUGGGCAUAUUAAUUUUAACCAAGAUUAGGGGGAUACAAGAGACAAGAAAAAGGAACGAAAUGUCAACAGCAAUUCUGGAUAUGGUUGACGUAGCUACCAACCAGAUGCUGAGUUUUCCAGAGUGCACAGCAAAUAUGGAACUGAGGAAAUCGGUGUAUGAUAUACAAAGUACACUUGAAAGUUUCAGUGAUAGACUAGAUCAAGUAGGAAAAAAAACUCUCAAAACUUAAAAUCUGAAGACUUUUUCUCAGUUCAAAGAGAUUUAAAGCAUUAUACUCUGGCCAUUCAUGUGAACAAAAUCUGCUGGGUUGUUACACUAGGGCCUUGGGUAAUCAUUAAAGGUGAAAAUGAAAAUAA